rnacentral:snRNA from 1 species
AAGGACUUUGAAAAGAGA